GACGAACGCUGGCGGCGUGCUUAACACAUGCAAGUCGUACGGUAAGGCCCUUUCGGGGGUCCACGAGUGGCGAACGGGUGAGUAACACGUGAGUAACCUGCCCACAACUUUGGGAUAACGCUAGGAAACUGGUGCUAAUACUGGAUAUGUGCUCCUGCUGCAUGGUGGGGGUUGGAAAGCUCCGGCGGUUGUGGAUGGACUCGCGGCCUAUCAGCUUGUUGGUGGGGUAGUGGCCUACCAAGGCGGCGACGGGUAGCCGGCCUGAGAGGGUGACCGGCCACAGUGGGACUGAGAUACGGCCCAGACUCCUACGGGAGGCAGCAGUGGGGAAUAUUGCACAAUGGGCGCAAGCCGGAUGCAGCAACGCCGCGGGCGGGAGGACGGCCUUCGGGUUGUAAACCGCUUUCAGCAGGGACGAAGCUUUUUGUGACGGUACCUGCAGAAGAAGCACCGGCUAACUACGUG
rnacentral:rRNA from 1 species